rnacentral:rRNA from 1 species
GGGUUGUGAGGUUAAGCGACUAAGCGUACACGGUGGAUGCCCUGGCAGUCAGAGGCGAUGAAGGGCGUGCUAAUCUGCGAUAAGCGCCGGUAAGGUGAUAUGAACCGUUAUAACCGGCGAUACCCGAAUGGGGAAACCCAGUGUGACUCGUCACACUAUCAUUAACUGAAUCCAUAGGUUAAUGAGGCGAACCGGGGGAACUGAAACAUCUAAGUACCCCGAGGAAAAGAAAUCAACCGAGAUUCCCCCAGUAGCGGCGAGCGAACGGGGAGGAGCCCAGAGCCUGAAUCAGCAUGUGUGUUAGUGGAAGCGUCUGGAAAGGCGCGCGAUACAGGGUGACAGCCCCGUACACAAAAGCGCAUGUGCUGUGAGCUCGAUGAGUAGGGCGGGACACGUGGUAUCCUGUCUGAAUAUGGGGGGACCAUCCUCCAAGGCUAAAUACUCCUGACUGACCGAUAGUGAACCAGUACCGUGAGGGAAAGGCGAAAAGAACCCCGGCGAGGGGAGUGAAAAAGAACCUGAAACCGUGUACGUACAAGCAGUGGGAGCCCCACCACUAAGCCAGUGGUGAACUCCACAUACGCAUCCUUUGCUGAGGAUACGGUUAACGGAGCGAAAGCGACGUUCAACCUCAAAAGAAGCAGAGGGGGCUUAGUGGUGGGGUGACUGCGUACCUUUUGUAUAAUGGGUCAGCGACUUAUAUUCUGUAGCAAGGUUAACCGAAUAGGGGAGCCGGAGGGAAACCGAGUCUUAAUUGGGCGUUAAGUUGCAGGGUAUAGACCCGAAACCCGGUGAUCUAGCCAUGGGCAGGUUGAAGGUUGGGUAACACUAACUGGAGGACCGAACCGACUAAUGUUGAAAAAUUAGCGGAUGACCUGUGGCU